rnacentral:ribozyme from 2 species
AAAAAAACUCCGCCUGUAGCUAUUCUAGAGUUACUGCCGGUCCCAAGCCUGGGUAAAGGAGGAGGGUUGA